rnacentral:rRNA from 1 species
GGAAUCAACGCUGGCGGCGUGCCUAACACAUGCAAGUCGAACGAGAAAGUGGAGCAAUCCAUGAGUAAAGUGGCGCACGGGUGAGUAACACGUGACUAACCUACCCUUGAGUGGGGGAUAACCUAGGGAAAACCUGGGCUAAUACCGCAUAAUACCUUCGGGUCAAAGGAGCAAUUCGCUUAAGGAGGGGGUCGCGGCCGAUUAGUUAGUUGGCGGGGUAAUGGCCCACCAAGACGAUGAUCUGUAU